rnacentral:tRNA from 1 species
GGGACAGUAGCUCAAUUGGCUGAGCAUCUCGUUUGCAACGAGAAGGAUGCGGGUUCAAAUCCCGCCUGUUCCA